rnacentral:rRNA from 1 species
AACGAACGCUGGCGGCAUGCCUAACACAUGCAAGUCGAACGAGACCUUCGGGUCUAGUGGCGCACGGGUGCGUAACGCGUGGGAACCUGCCCUUAGGUUCGGAAUAACUCCCCGAAAGGGGUGCUAAUACCGGAUAAUGUCUUCGGACCAAAGAUUUAUUGCCGUUGGAUGGGCCCGCGUUGGAUUAGCUAGUUGGUAGGGUAAAAGCCUACCAAGGCGACGAUCCAUAGCUGGUCUGAGAGGAUGAUCAGCCACACUGGGACUGAGGCACGGCCCAGACUGCUACGGAAGGCAGCAGUGGGGAAUAUUGGACGAGGGGCGAAAGCCUGAUCCAGCAAUGCCGGGUGAGUGAUGAAGGCCUUAGGGUUGUAAAGCUCUUUUACCCGGGAUGAUAAUGACAGUACCGGGAGAAUAAGCUCCGGCUAACUCCGUG